UACGUAGGGGGCAAGCGUUGUCCGGAUUUAUUGGGCGUAAAGAGCGUGUAGGCGGCCAUACAGGUCAGCUGUGAAAACUCGAGGCUCAACCUCGAGACGUCGGUUGAAACCGUAUGGCUAGAGUCCGGAAGAGGAGAGUGGAAUUCUCGGUGUAGCGGUGAAAUGCGCAGAUAUCGGGAAGAACACCCGUGGCGAAGGCGGCUCUCUGGGACGGUACUGACGCUGAGACGCGAAAGCGUGGGGAGCGAACAGG
rnacentral:rRNA from 1 species